UACGUAGGUGGCAAGCGUUGUCCGGAUUUACUGGGCGUAAAGGGCGUGCAGGCGGUCUGUUAAGUUCAGGGUGAAAGCUCCCGGCUCAACUGGGAGAGGUCCUUGGAUACUGGCAGACUUGAGGGAGGUAGAGGAGAGUGGAAUUCCCGGUGUAGUGGUGAUAUGCGUAGAUAUCGGGAGGAACACCAGUGGCGAAGGCGGCUCACUGGCCCGGUACUGACGCUGAGGUGCGAAAGCGUGGGGAGCAAACAGG
rnacentral:rRNA from 1 species